UACGAGAGGCGCAAACGUUAUUCGGAUUUACUGGGCUUAAAGAGUUCGUAGGCGGCGCAGAAAGUAGGGUGUGAAAGCCCUCGGCUCAACCGAGGAAUUGCGCUCUAAACUACUGUGCUUGAGGGACCUAGAGGUGAGCGGAACUGAUGGUGGAGCGGUGAAAUGCGUUGAUAUCAUCAGGAACACCGGAGGCGAAGGCGGCUCACUGGGGGUCUUCUGACGCUGAGGAACGAAGGCCAGGGGAGCGAACGGG
rnacentral:rRNA from 1 species